GAAGAUGAGUGGGUCCCUCUGCACAGGGCCAGGAGCAAGCCUGGAGGCAUCAGCGGGUCUGUACCAUGUUGUGUUCCUUAGAAAAUGACUCUGUGCUGUCCCAGAUGUUACAGUCAAAGCAAAAACACCAUUUGGAAAAGGCAACGCUUUCCUCGUGCAGCAAGGAGACAGCUGAGCACUGUUUAUAGAUGCAUUUAAUCAGCCCAAAAUGAGUUUCACGGAGGAGGCAAUAGACAACCUAAUUAGUGACUUGUCUGUGGUCUAACCAGCCAGGUCAGGGAAGGGCACCUAAAGAGAAGUGAUAGAUCCUGCAAAGGGGCCCCACCUCCGCAGGAUUAAUGAAAACCCUUCCCCAAAUAAGAAUAUUCUCGAGCAGUGAGAGGAUGGAGAAUUUUUUUCAACGAGUGAAGGUGAAAUACAAAGGGAAAUAGCGGACAAGCUUUUUUUUUAAUGUGCAAAUGAUACCAGUGCAACGGAGAAGUGUACAGGAAAAGAAAUAGUUUUGCAUAAAUGCCUCUCUCUCAGUAGAUAUUGCAAAGGAAUGCAAACGCAAAAUGAGCUUGAGCGUACUUAAAGGGCAGUGAUCUGAUGAAGAUGAGAAGUGCAGAGUUAAUGUUCUCUCCUGGAUUUCUUCACAAAGUUACUGAGUAAGUUUUCCCCAGCCUGCUUCAUAUCCCUGCAAAUGAGAAGAAGGGAAUUUGUGGCUGCAGUGAGGUGGUGGAUGUUGGCAUUGCACUGAGCACCACUCUCCGCCACAUUUGGGCUCUUGGGGAAGUUUUUGGGACCUCGAGCAGACAGCAAUCUUCAGCCUGAGGUAUGUCAGACCAUGUGAUUUAAUGGGCACUAAAACCAGGGAGCUGAUGGAGUUUUUGAUGUAGCCAAAGGCUCUGCAGAGGUGGCAGAGCAGAGAUACAGAGGACAUGUGGUGAUGGAGGAGACCCAGCCCUGACCAGGAGAUCCCCAUCCCCGUGCUGUUCUCAUGUCCCCAGCGUCUCCAUAGCCAAGCUGGAACUGGAUGGAGCCGUCAGCAAGAAUUAUUCCCAAGUACCUGUGGUAUGAAAGGCCUUUGUGUUAUGGUUGUGCAUAAAUAGUUACUGUAAAAAAAAAAAUAUGUUAUUUUAAAUCCAAAAACUGUCACAUUUCCUUCCUAAAUGAUAACUAAAUCCAUACAGCACCUGAAGAGGUUUUCUAUCUCUUUCAAUUUAAAGCUUCAUUUGUGACAAAAGAGCAUUAAAAUAGGAAAACAUUCUUUUAAAGAGAGAUAGCUCUAAUAUUUGAUAACUUAUAAAAGUUAAUAUAUGUUUAUAUUAUCUGAUACAUAUGA
ensembl:lncRNA